rnacentral:lncRNA from 1 species
CAGCAAAUAAGAUAGAGGAAAAAAGCAGCUUCAAACCAUUGUGAGAGCCAGCUGGUGGAAAGCAGCCUGCUGGGACCUGCAGGGCUGAAGGUGCCUGUGUGUGGGAUGGCAAGCAUGCCCACAGAGCAGGAAGGCAAGUCUCUGUGCUCUGCCCAGAGAUCCCACGUGUGGGAAUUGCACCUUCAGAGGAACACUCUGGAGCAGACCAGGGAAGGGCCUGGGCAUGACACAGCCAAGACAGGACCAGCAUCUCCACAAAUGAAUCCCCAAGGGGCCUCAAGUGGUCACAUCAGACGACUCCAAGGAGGCAGAGCCCCAUGUCGGAGGCAGAGGCAACUGUGCAGGAGUUUGCGCUUUGGCUGAGGCACUGGCGAAUGUGGUAGACAUGAGACUCUGUCCUGUGUGGCUCCAAAACUGCCCCGCAGUUCUGCUCCUGGGGGGCCCGGGGCAUGUGCACACUCACAUGCACGUACACUCACAUGCACGUACACUCACACACAUGCACUCACACACAUGCACAUACAGCCUGCGGGAGACUGAGAAGCCCUCUGCAGGCAUUUGGGAGGCAGCCUCUUCAGUUCUGUGGCUCAUCUCACUCACCUGAGGAUCCGAUCGGAAUUGGAGCUACUCUUGGAAGGAUCUCCUGUCUGCGGCUGCUGCUUCUCAUGGGAUUUGGCUAAUUUUUCGGCGGCAGCAAUGGGACACCCAGACAAACUAGAGGAAGGAAGAGGAGGGGUUUCUGAGCCUUCCCCUCCAUGCCUGUCCUGUCCUGGGUGUCUGUGUGUGUGGGUGUCUCACGGCAAGGUCAUUCAGAUGUGAGAACUCCAGGUGAACUCCAGAGAAGCCCAGAGCCGGGAAUAACCCUGUCAUUCUGCAGGACAGGGGUUUUCUCUCUGGCUCUGUUCUUGAGCCCUCACAGU